GACGGGGGGGGCAAGUGUUCUUCGGAAUGACUGGGCGUAAAGGGCACGUAGGCGGUGAAUCGGGUUGAAAGUGGAAGUCGCCAAAAAGUGGCGGAAUGCUCUCGAAACCAAUUCACUUGAGUGAGACAGAGGAGAGUGGAAUUUCGUGUGUAGGGGUGAAAUCCGUAAAUAUACGAAGGAACGCCAAAAGCGAAGGCAGCCUC
rnacentral:rRNA from 1 species